CAAAACUGGUAUUCUAAUUUAAACUACUUUCUG
rnacentral:tRNA from 1 species